rnacentral:rRNA from 1 species
GACGGUUCCUGAAAAAUAAGCCCCGGCUAACUACUUGCCAGCAGCCCCGGUAAUACCUAAGGUGCUAGCGUUAAUCCGAAUUACUGGGCGUAAAGCGUGCGCAGGCGGUUAUACAAGACAGGAGUGAAAUCCCCGGGCUUAACCUGGGAAUGUGGUCUGUGACUGGAUAGCUUGAGUGUGUCAAAGGGGGGUGGAAUUCCACGUGUAACAAUGAAAUGCGUAAAUUUU